AUUGAACGCUGGCGGCAGGCCUAACACAUGCAAGUCGAGCGGUAGCACAGAGAGCUUGCUCUCGGGUGACGAGCGGCGGACGGGUGAGUAAUGUCUGGGAAACUGCCUGAUGGAGGGGGAUAACUACUGGAAACGGUAGCUAAUACCGCAUAACGUCGCAAGACCAAAGUGGGGGACCUUCGGGCCUCAUGCCAUCAGAUGUGCCCAGAUGGGAUUAGCUAGUAGGUGGGGUAACGGCUCACCUAGGCGACGAUCCCUAGCUGGUCUGAGAGGAUGACCAGCCACACUGGAACUGAGACAUGGUCCAGACUCCUACGGGAGGCAGCAGUGGGGAAUAUUGCACAAUGGGCGCAAGCCUGAUGCAGCCAUGCCGCGUGUGUGAAGAAGGCCUUCGGGUUGUAAAGCACUUUCAGCGGGGAGGAAGGCGGUGAGGUUAAUAACCUCAUCGAUUGACGUUACCCGCAGAAGAAGCACCGGCUAACUCCGUGCCAGCAGCCGCGGUAAUACGGAGGGUGCAAGCGUUAAUCGGAAUUACUGGGCGUAAAGCGCACGCAGGCGGUCUGUCAAGUCGGAUGUGAAAUCCCCGGGCUCAACCUGGGAACUGCAUUCGAAACUGGCAGGCUAGAGUCUUGUAGAGGGGGGUAGAAUUCCAGGUGUAGCGGUGAAAUGCGUAGAGAUCUGGAGGAAUACCGGUGGCGAAGGCGGCCCCCUGGACAAAGACUGACGCUCAGGUACGAAAGCGUGGGGAGCAAACAGGAUUAGAUACCCUGGUAGUCCACGCCGUAAACGAUGUCGAUUUGGAGGUUGUGCCCUUGAGGCGUGGCUUCCGGAGCUAACGCGUUAAAUCGACCGCCUGGGGAGUACGGCCGCAAGGUUAAAACUCAAAUGAAUUGACGGGGGCCCGCACAAGCGGUGGAGCAUGUGGUUUAAUUCGAUGCAACGCGAAGAACCUUACCUGGUCUUGACAUCCACAGAACUUUCCAGAGAUGGAUUGGUGCCUUCGGGAACUGUGAGACAGGUGCUGCAUGGCCGUCGUCAGCUCGUGUUGUGAAAUGUUGGGUUAAGUCCCGCAACGAGCGCAACCCUUAUCCUUUGUUGCCAGCGGCUAGGCCGGGAACUCAAAGGAGACUGCCAGUGAUAAACUGGAGGAAGGUGGGGAUGACGUCAAGUCAUCAUGGCCCUUACGACCAGGGCUACACACGUGCUACAAUGGCAUAUACAAAGAGAAGCGACCUCGCGAGAGCAAGCGGACCUCAUAAAGUAUGUCGUAGUCCGGAUUGGAGUCUGCAACUCGACUCCAUGAAGUCGGAAUCGCUAGUAAUCGUAGAUCAGAAUGCUACGGUGAAUACGUCCCCGGGCCU
rnacentral:rRNA from 1 species